rnacentral:rRNA from 1 species
AGAUUGAACGCUGGCGGCAUGCUUUACACAUGCAAGUCGAACGGUAACGCGGGGGCAACCCUGGCGACGAGUGGCGAACGGGUGAGUAAUACAUCGGAACAUGUCCUGGAGUGGGGGAUAGCUCGGCGAAAGCCGGAUUAAUACCGCAUACGCUCUGAGGAGGAAAGCGGGGGACUCGUAAGGGCCUCGCGCUGCGGGAGUGGCCGAUGUCGGAUUAGCUAGUUGGUGAGGUAAAGGCUCACCAAGGCGACGAUCCGUAGCUGGUCUGAGAGGAUGAUCAGCCACACUGGGACUGAGACACGGCCCAGACUCCUACGGGAGGCAGCAGUGGGAAUUUGGACAAUGGGGGCAACCCUGAUCCAGCCAUGCCGCGUGAGUGAAGAAGGCCUUCGGUGUAAAGCUCGUUUCGGACGGACGAAGUGGUUACGGUGAAUACCGUGUGACUGAUGACGGUACGUAAGUAAGAAGCACCGGCUAACGUACGUGCCAGCAGCCGCGUAAC